UACGUAGGGUGCAAGCGUUAAUCGGAAUUACUGGGCGUAAAGGGUGCGUAGGCGGUUCGUUAAGUCUGUCGUGAAAUCCCCGGGCUCAACCUGGGAAUGGCGAUGGAUACUGGACAGCUAGAGUGUGUCAGAGGAUGGUGGAAUUCCCGGUGUAGCGGUGAAAUGCGUAGAGAUCGGGAGGAACAUCAGUGGCGAAGGCGGCCAUCUGGGACAACACUGACGCUGAAGCACGAAAGCGUGGGGAGCAAACAGG
rnacentral:rRNA from 1 species